CCCGUGCUUCGAUCUCGGGUAGGGCACGGGUGAACCGUUCCGUAAACCCUAAAAUUCGAUCUCCUAUCUACUUAAUGGUGCGAGAAGACAACAUAACCAUUCUCCGGGAUGCGGCUCUGAGUCCCUUUCUCUUGCAGUUGUGGAGUUGUGGGUGUCUAAGGCACUUGAGCCAUAGACAUUUUCUGAUGACCACCGCAUAGUUGAGCUCCCGGACGAGUACUCUUAGUCGCCGAUCUGUUUCGUGAAGACUGUAUUAACUUGGAGGUGGCUGUGUAUUCUCAAGCAGCUUGCACACAAACCCUUAGUGGAAUCAGUCUCUACAGGGAUCGAGUUCAAGGACUCCGUGAUUCUUAAUCUCAUGCUCGUAGGGUUCCAUGUCUUUCCGUGUGUUAUGUUUACCUUGGUUGGACAUUACCUUCAAUGGGUAGUGCUGUUAAGUGUGAAAUGAGGAAUAAUUGUUUCCCUAUUGGUUUGACUGCCGCUAUGAUGGCGUAUUAUUGCUUCAAACUUUCUGAUCACUCUGAUGGUCUCCUGUUUCGUAGCUUGUGCCGAGAUGCUCUAAGCCAUACAUUUAACUUCUCAGCCUCUCAUCCACAGCGCUGUUGGAAGCGUUUUGCACAGUACCUAGUACCCGAGUUGGCAACGAAUCUCGAUAAGCUUGAACCACACUGGUACUCGUUUCAACGGCGAAGGCAAAGUGAAAAGAUGAUUUACAGUUUCCCUA